UACAGAGGUCUCAAGCGUUGUUCGGAUUCAUUGGGCGUAAAGGGUGCGUAGGCGGCGCGGUAAGUCGGGUGUGAAAUCUCGGGGCUUAACUCCGAAACUGCAUUCAAUACUGCCGUGCUUGAGGACUGGAGAGGAGACUGGAAUUUACGGUGUAGCGGUGAAAUGCGUAGAUAUCGUAAGGAAGACCAGUGGCGAAGGCGGGUCUCUGGACAGUUCCUGACGCUGAGGCACGAAGGUCAGGGGAGCAAACGGG
rnacentral:rRNA from 1 species